GGAUGAACGCUGGCGGCGUGCCUAAUACAUGCAAGUCGAGCGAACAGAUAAGGAGCUUGCUCCUUUGACGUUAGCGGCGGACGGGUGAGUAACACGUGGGUAACCUACCUAUAAGACUGGGAUAACUUCGGGAAACCGGAGCUAAUACCGGAUAAUAUUUCGAACCGCAUGGUUCGAUAGUGAAAGAUGGUUUUGCUAUCACUUAUAGAUGGGCCCGCGCCGUAUUAGCUAGUUGGUAAGGUAACGGCUUACCAAGGCGACGAUACGUAGCCGACCUGAGAGGGUGAUCGGCCACACUGGAACUGAGACACGGUCCAGACUCCUACGGGAGGCAGCAGUAGGGAAUCUUCCGCAAUGGGCGAAAGCCUGACGGAGCAACGCCGCGUGAGUGAUGAAGGUCUUCGGAUCGUAAAACUCUGUUAUUAGGGAAGAACAUACGUGUAAGUAACUAUGCACGUCUUGACGGUACCUAAUCAGAAAGCCACGGCUAACUACGUGCCAGCAGCCGCGGUAAUACGUAGGUGGCAAGCGUUAUCCGGAAUUAUUGGGCGUAAAGCGCGCGUAGGCGGUUUUUUAAGUCUGAUGUGAAAGCCCACGGCUCAACCGUGGAGGGUCAUUGGAAACUGGGAAACUUGAGUGCAUAGAGGAAGUGGAAUUUCCAUGUGUAGCGGUGAAAUGCGCAGAGAUAUGAAGGAACACCAGUGGCGAAGGCGGCUUUCUGGUCUGUAACUGACGCUGAUGUGCGAAAGCGUGGGGAUCAAACAGGAUUAGAUACCCUGGUAGUCCACGCCGUAAACGAUGAGUGCUAAGUGUUAGGGGGUUUCCGCCCCUUAGUGCUGCAGCUAACGCAUUAAGCACUCCGCCUGGGGAGUACGACCGCAAGGUUGAAACUCAAAGGAAUUGACGGGGACCCGCACAAGCGGUGGAGCAUGUGGCUUAAUUCGAAGCAACGCGAAGAACCUUACCAAAUCUUGACAUCCUUUGACAACUCUAGAGAUAGAGCCUUCCCCUUCGGGGGACAAAGUGACAGGUGGUGCAUGGUUGUCGUCAGCUCGUGUCGUGAGAUGUUGGGUUAAGUCCCGCAACGAGCGCAACCCUUAAGCUUAGUUGCCAUCAUUAAGUUGGGCACUCUAAGUUGACUGCCGGUGACAAACCGGAGGAAGGUGGGGAUGACGUCAAAUCAUCAUGCCCCUUAUGAUUUGGGCUACACACGUGCUACAAUGGACAAUACAAAGGGCAGCGAAACCGCGAGGUCAAGCAAAUCCCAUAAAGUUGUUCUCAGUUCGGAUUGUAGUCUGCAACUCGACUACAUGAAGCUGGAAUCGCUAGUAAUUGUAGAUCAGCAUGCUACGGUGAAUACGUUCCCGGGUCUUG
rnacentral:rRNA from 1 species